rnacentral:rRNA from 1 species
AUUGAACGCUGGCGGCAGGCCUAACACAUGCAAGUCGAACGAGUGGCGGACUGGUGAGUAAUGUCUGGGAAACUGCCUGAUGGAGGGGGAUAACUACUGGAAACGGUAGCUAAUACCGCAUACCAUCGGAUGUGCCCAGAUGGGAUUAGCUAGUAGGUGGGGUAAAGACUCACCUAGGCGACGAUCCCUAGCUGGUCUGAGAGGAUGACCAGCCACACGGGAACUGAGACACGGUCCAGAAUCCGACGGGAGGCAGCAGUGGGGAAUAUUGCAAAAUUGGCGCAAGCCGGAUGCAGCCAUGCCGCUUGUAUGAAGAAGGCCUUCGGGUUGGAAAGUACUUUCAGAGGGGAGGCGUUACCCGCAGAAGAAGCACCGGCUAACUCCGUGACAGCAGCCGCGGUAAUAC